rnacentral:rRNA from 1 species
UACGGAAUGUGCAAACGUUAUUCGGAAUCACUGGGCUUAAAGAGUCCGUAGGCGGCAUGUUAGGUGAGGUGUGAAAUCCCCCGGCUCAACCGAGGAAUUGCGCUUCAAACCGGCGUGCUUGAGGAAGAUAGAGGUGGGCGGAACUGAUGGUGGAGCGGUGAAAUGCGUUGAUAUGCGGAGGAACACCGAUGGCGAAGGCAAUCCCCUGGACCUGUACUGACGCUCAUGCACGAAAGCGUGGGGAGCAAACAGG